UGCAAGUCGAGCGGAGCGAGGGUGCUUGCACCUUAGCUUAGCGGCGGACGGGUGAGUAAUGCUUAGGAAUCUGCCUAUUAGUGGGGGACAACAUUCCGAAAGGAAUGCUAAUACCGCAUACGCCCUACGGGGGAAAGCAGGGGAUCUUCGGACCUUGCGCUAAUAGAUGAGCCUAAGUCGGAUUAGCUAGUUGGUGGGGUAAAGGCCUACCAAGGCGACGAUCUGUAGCGGGUCUGAGAGGAUGAUCCGCCACACUGGGACUGAGACACGGCCCAGACUCCUACGGGAGGCAGCAGUGGGGAAUAUUGGACAAUGGGCGGAAGCCUGAUCCAGCCAUGCCGCGUGUGUGAAGAAGGCCUUUUGGUUGUAAAGCACUUUAAGCGAGGAGGAGGCUACUGGUACUAAUACUACUGGAUAGUGGACGUUACUCGCAGAAUAAGCACCGGCUAACUCUGUGCCAGCAGCCGCGGUAAUACAGAGGGUGCGAGCGUUAAUCGGAUUUACUGGGCGUAAAGCGUGCGUAGGCGGCUGAUUAAGUCGGAUGUGAAAUCCCUGAGCUUAACUUAGGAAUUGCAUUCGAUACUGGUCAGCUAGAGUAUGGGAGAGGAUGGUAGAAUUCCAGGUGUAGCGGUGAAAUGCGUAGAGAUCUGGAGGAAUACCGAUGGCGAAGGCAGCCAUCUGGCCUAAUACUGACGCUGAGGUACGAAAGCAUGGGGAGCAAACAGGAUUAGAUACCCUGGUAGUCAUUGCCGUAAACGAUGUCUACUAGCCGUUGGGGCCUUUGAGGCUUUAGUGGCGCAGCUAACGCGAUAAGUAGACCGCCUGGGGAGUACGGUCGCAAGACUAAAACUCAAAUGAAUUGACGGGGGCCCGCACAAGCGGUGGAGCAUGUGGUUUAAUUCGAUGCAACGCGAAGAACCUUACCUGGUCUUGACAUAGUAAGAACUUUCCAGAGAUGGA
rnacentral:rRNA from 1 species